rnacentral:rRNA from 1 species
UCUGAAUAUGGGGGGACCAUCCUCCAAGGCUAAAUACUCCUGACUGACCGAUAGUGAACCAGUACCGUGAGGGAAAGGCGAAAAGAACCCCGGCGAGGGGAGUGAAAAAGAACCUGAAACCGUGUACGUACAAGCAGUGGGAGCACGCUUAGGCGUGUGACUGCGUACCUUUUGUAUAAUGGGUCAGCGACUUAUAUUCUGUAGCAAGGUUAACCGAAUAGGGGAGCCGAAGGGAAACCGAGUCUUAACUGGGCGUUAAGUUGCAGGGUAUAGACCCGAAACCCGGUGAUCUAGCCAUGGGCAGGUUGAAGGUUGGGUAACACUAACUGGAGGACCGAACCGACUAAUGUUGAAAAAUUAGCGGAUGACUUGUGGCUGGGGGUGAAAGGCCAAUCAAACCGGGAGAUAGCUGGUUCUCCCCGAAAGCUAUUUAGGUAGCGCCUCGUGAAUUCAUCUCCGGGGGUAGAGCACUGUUUCGGCA